rnacentral:rRNA from 1 species
CAUGAUUUACAUUUGAGUGAGUGGCGAACUGGUGAGUAACACGUGGGAAACCUGCCCAGAAGCGGGGGAUAACACCUGGAAACAGAUGCUAAUACCGCAUAACAACUUGGACCGCAUGGUCCGAGCUUGAAAGAUGGCUUCGGCUAUCACUUUUGGAUGGUCCCGCGGCGUAUUAGCUAGAUGGUGGGGUAACGGCUCACCAUGGCAAUGAUACGUAGCCGACCUGAGAGGGUAAUCGGCCACAUUGGGACUGAGACACGGCCCAAACUCCUACGGGAGGCAGCAGUAGGGAAUCUUCCACAAUGGACGAAAGUCUGAUGGAGCAACGCCGCGUGAGUGAAGAAGGGUUUCGGCUCGUAAAACUCUGUUGUUAAAGAAGAACAUAUCUGAGAGUAACUGUUCAGGUAUUGACGGUAUUUAACCAGAAAGCCACGGCUAACUACGUGCCAGCAGCCGCGGUAAUACGUAGGUGGCAAGCGUUGUCCGGAUUUAUUGGGCGUAAAGCGAGCGCAGGCGGUUUUUUAAGUCUGAUGUGAAAGCCUUCGGCUCAACCGAAGAAGUGCAUCGGAAACUGGGAAACUUGAGUGCAGAAGAGGACAGUGGAACUCCAUGUGUAGCGGUGAAAUGCGUAGAUAUAUGGAAGAACACCAGUGGCGAAGGCGGCUGUCUGGUCUGUAACUGACGCUGAGGCUCGAAAGUAUGGGUAGCAAACAGGAUUAGAUACCCUGGUAGUCCAUACCGUAAACGAUGAAUGCUAAGUGUUGGAGGGUUUCCGCCCUUCAGUGCUGCAGCUAACGCAUUAAGCAUUCCGCCUGGGGAGUACGGCCGCAAGGCUGAAACUCAAAGGAAUUGACGGGGGCCCGCACAAGCGGUGGAGCAUGUGGUUUAAUUCGAAGCUACGCGAAGAACCUUACCAGGUCUUGACAUACUAUGCAAAUCUAAGAGAUUAGACGUUCCCUUCGGGGACAUGGAUACAGGUGGUGCAUGGUUGUCGUCAGCUCGUGUCGUGAGAUGUUGGGUUAAGUCCCGCAACGAGCGCAACCCUUAUUAUCAGUUGCCAGCAUUAAGUUGGGCACUCUGGUGAGACUGCCGGUGACAAACCGGAGGAAGGUGGGGAUGACGUCAAAUCAUCAUGCCCCUUAUGACCUGGGCUACACACGUGCUACAAUGGAUGGUACAACGAGUUGCGAACUCGCGAGAGUAAGCUAAUCUCUUAAAGCCAUUCUCAGUUCGGAUUGUAGGCUGCAACUCGCCUACAUGAAGUCGGAAUCGCUAGUAAUCGCGGAUCAGCAUGCCGCGGUGAAUACGUUCCCGGGCCUUGUACACACCGCCCGUCACACCAUGAGAGUUUGUAACACCCAAAG